rnacentral:rRNA from 1 species
UACGGAGGGGACUAGCGUUGUUCGGAAUUACUGGGCGUAAAGCGCACGUAGGCAGAUUUGUAAGUCAGGGGUGAAAUCCCGGGGCUCAACCUCGGAACUGCCUUUGAUACUGCAAAUCUCGAGUCCGGAAGAGGUGAGUGGAAUUCCUAGUGUAGAGGUGAAAUUCGUAGAUAUUAGGAAGAACACCAGUGGCGAAGGCGGCUCACUGGUCCGGUACUGACGCUGAGGUGCGAAAGCGUGGGGAGCAAACAGA